ACACACACACGCCAUAAUCCUGUGCAAGUCUCUAUUCUCUUCUCUUCGCCUGUCUUCCUCUCUCAACCCAUUUUCUCUGGUUUGUUGUUGUGAUUACAGUUGGUCUAUUUGGGUUUUUGAGACAGGGUUUUCUUAAGGAGUGCAGGCCAGCUUUAAACUCAGCCUACCAAGUCUGGGAUUACAGGAAAGGCUAUCCUGCCUGGCAUACCAUUCUACUUUUCUUAUUUGUCCCUGUGAAAAACUUCGGGGAGAUAAAAUGUAUUUAGCUAUUAAGAACUAUAGAUUUCACCAAACACCAGUUAGCUAGCACUAACACACCUCAUAAAAGAAAGAUAUUUGUUACAUUAUAAGCCAGAACCUCAAGGGGGAAACACAAUGAGAAAUGUGGACUCCCAAGUUGGAGUCUGGUCACAUGCCUGUUCCCCUAAGCUGAUGAAGGGACAACUCCAGACCCCAGGCAGGCAACUCGUCCCCAAGAUCGGAACGAUAAAAGAGAGGGUUUGAUAUCACCAUGGACAGAGAUUCCACCAAUAAAGCAAAGUUAAGUUCUGAAGCCUAACCUCCUUUUAGUCCUUUGUAGGAAAGACAUUUUUCUCCAUAAAUUAGCAAAUGCCUUGUGGUUUGGAGUGACUGCCCCAAGACCCAUGUCCCUAAUUCCUUAUUUCUUUGUUACACGCUCAAGGAUGUGUGAGCAAUUAACUUUAAUAACUCUGACUCUGGCUGAAAGAAAAGGAAACUACAGACGACCCCAAAACUCCUCGCACUGAACGAAUCUUGAGUCCUGUGUGUGGAGGAAUAACAGCAAGGUCUUCGGUGCCUGCCGUUGGCCCAGGUUUCCCCUCAGUAGACGAGCUCGUGACCUUCUUCUUGGCGAGGUCACAGUGGCAUUGCGGCGCGUGAACGGGGGAUCUGGGAUGGGCACAGGCAUGUAUGGGAAGCAAUGACGUAGUGUCUGCCAGACUACCUUCGCAUGCUAUGUGUAACAGAUCUGGCAACUGAACUAAUUACCCUGGCUGGCGAUUUGCUGUAGGUUCUGCUUGCAACAUGCUAACAGCCCUAGAUAACCUCCCAAGGAGAAAAAACACAGAGGGUUGUCCUCUGCUAAAUACUAGAAGAAUCUCUGGCUUAUCCCAGGGCCUUAUCUGUUCCCAUCAGUCCCUACAGAGUGGUAGUUUCCUUCCCUGCCCCCCCACAUCAUGAAAUUACUCUGGAAUCUUCUGGAAGAAAACACUAGGUACUGUGUAUACAGUGCCCCUCUGGUCCAGCCCACGCUACGUGUUGAUUUCCCACAUGGACAGGAUCCAGAAGCAUCGUAGCUGCAAAUAAAAAGACAAGGCAAUGCCACUGUCUGUUAGCAUUGUCUGGCACUCCAAAAGAUGAGCACAAAUCCCCACAAAAAUAAAUGCACCCCAGAUAGCUCUGCAAGGUGACACUCAGACCUGCCAACCUGCAAACAUGGUCCAAUUAGCAUGGGAGGGCACAGAGUUUAAAGGCUCAGGCAUCUCAACCCAGCCUGCCCCGGGCCUCGCGUCUCCAAGGCCCCUCCCACUUUGCAGUGCAGCCUGGAUGUUGUUCUUCUGAAGAAUAAACGGAUCCCAGCAAGUCUUCAUGGAGGGCCCGCUGCAGCCCAAGCCCUGAGCAACAGCCCUGACAGGCAGGCGCCGCAACUGCCAGGCCUGGAGGGGAACUUCUGACACAGCUCGUUAACUUUCUAUUUCUACUGUACGUUUGUUUAUAUUUACACUAUAGUUAGGUUUCCUGGUCUUUAUUAAAAGAGUUCUCU